rnacentral:rRNA from 1 species
UUAAACUCCUGUCAGAUGGAAAGAAAAGCUUGCGUUUAAUAGACGCAAAGUAUGACGGUACCAUCAGAGGAAGCACCGGCUAACUUCGUGC